CAGUAGCCGCGGGAAUACGGAGGGGGCUAGCGUUGUUCGGAAUUACUGGGCGUAAAGCGCACGUAGGCGGCUUGGUAAGUUAGAGGUGAAAGCCUGGAGCUCAACUCCAGAAUUGCCUUUAAGACUGCCGAGCUAGCAGGUGAGAGAGGUAAGUGGAAUUCCGAAUGUAGAGGUGAAAUUCGUGGAUAUUCGGAAGAACACCAGUGGCGAAGGCGGCUUACUGGCUCAUACUGGACGCUGAGGUGCGAAAGCGUGGGGAGCAAACAGGAUUAGAUACCCGUGUAGUCCCUGUCUCUUAUAC
rnacentral:rRNA from 1 species